GAAAAAGAUAUAUUUUCUCUCGCUAGAUGGCAUCGUCGACACAAUAACAAAUACGACAAUUUGAUAACAGACCGGCUAAGAAAAUGUCAGAAUCAAACAAGGAUCUCAAAGACUUUGACUGGAAACUCAAGUUAGCAUUGGAGAGUAACAAAGUGAGCGCACUUAAUACGCCGAUCGUCGAGUUAACAUUACACACAAACAGUGACUCGUGUUCUGUGGAAAUGGACUCCCUUGGCCUCGACAACUUAAUUGGCAAGAUUAAAGAAGCCCUUUCGAAAACUACAAAUCAAGUCUCCAAUUGAUCUACUAUCACUGUUCUAAUAAAUCUAACAAGUCACCUAAUGAGUCUGUAUAAAAAUCUGGUAUCAGAAUAUGUUGUUCAUUGUUUUUGUACUGUUCAAGUUGUUUCAGGCUUGUAACACCAGUUAAGACCAGAAGAGUUGUCAGUUGGCAGUUCUUUCCAAAACUUAUGUCUGUAUUGCACCUGUAAAAUAGUUGCAUUAUGAGUCAUGUGAAGUGUUUAUCUUAAUAUUAUCUCUAUUUACCGAUCUCCAA